UAGGUGUGUGUAAGUGACGACCCCAUGUGACGAAGUCGCGGAAGGAUGCAGUCUUUGGAACGGAUCCCCUUCAUUAGGAUUUCCUUGGCUUCUGGAUCCUUGGUUUUGGUGCCGCCUGGAAACGGACUACUCUGUAGCGAAGGAGGACUGACCACGUGGGAGAGAGGUCACGACUGCAGGAGUGGAGUCCUUCCUGAAGACCCGAGGAGGCUAGGAAACAACAGCACCAGAAGCUCUCCCAAGGCCGCCUGUCCCAGCAGAGCAGACUUGAGCAGAGUCUGCCGGUGUGUGGCUACACAGCACGCCACUUCGAAUUGAAUGCACCCCGUCUGACUCAGGGGUGAGUGCUCAAUGCUCCUCGGAUAGCAGGGGAGACGGCAUCAUUUCAGCUCAGCAGCAGUCGCUGAGGACGUGUCCGGCCACGAUGGCAAUGGCAAAGGAGCAGAUGGCGGGGAAUAGGGACAGGAGCUGUACACAGCGUAGCAUGACAGUUACAAUCUCUACAUGAUGCCCCAGUGAGCUACUGCAUGUGUGUCCUGUGUUCAGGCCACAUUCCUGUUCUUGUGGCUUAACGUCCACUAGUAAGCCUCCCUGGGAGGUGACACCUACACCUAAACUACUCCAAGCCGCUCUUAGCAGCUUUGCUGGGCUCACUACCAUUUUGGAGGGAACGGUAAUUGUUACUGAGGAGUUGGGGGCUGGAUGGAAGGGCACUGGGAGGGUUCUCUUGGGGCUCAGCCUCUGUUGCCUUGUUUGUCAUGGGAAGGCCUCUGUCCCCUCUUCCAGAUGGCUUUCUCCACCAAACACUGACACAAGAGGGGGAAGUCCCUUUCAUUCAAAGUGUAAUUGACCAGGUUAAUGUACUAUAAAGUGUGCGGGUUGAACAUGUAUCCUUUGGUGUCCUGGGGAAAGAGGUAUAUCAAGUCUAGAUGGUUUCUGUUGGCAGUAAUCCACCAAUUGGGCAGAGUGUUCCUUGAAAUCAUGGGGUGCGUUACUGUGAAACAGGAGCCACAGGUCUACUUGAAGUGGGAACUGGCUAGUA